CGUGGGGUACUCGAGUGGCGAACGGGUGAGUAACACGUGAGUAACCUGCCCUUGACUUUGGGAUAACUUCAGGAAACUGGGGCUAAUACCGGAUAGGAGCUCCUGCUGCAUGGUGGGGGUUGGAAAGUUUCGGCGGUUGGGGAUGGACUCGCGGCUUAUCAGCUUGUUGGUGGGGUAGUGGCCUACCAAGGCGGCGACGGGUAGCCGGCCUGAGAGGGUGACCGGCCACAUUGGGACUGAGAUACGGCCCAG
rnacentral:rRNA from 1 species